AUGUGGUGUUGCAGAACAUCAGUCCGCCCUGUACGGAGUGUACACACUUUAGGGUUACUUGAAAGAAUAUGGAGCAAUCUCUGCUUCCCAUCUGGAGGUAAGUGAGCUGCAUCCACUGCAUUGCUGAUUAAUGUCUCAUCAGUUGAAAUAUCAGGUUGUAGAGACAGCAGGGGACCUAAUGGAGGAACAGCAGUUAAUAGCGAGAGGCUUUGUUUGUUUCCCUUGAGUUGUUGUCUUCCUUUCCAGGAUUGUGAGUCAACAACUGGUGGAACACUUGCAUUUCCUAGUUGAAAAGGAUAGUCUUCAGAAGAGGCAAUCUGGAAAGAAUAUUUUUGGUCAAUCACAUUGAUUUGCAGACCACUGAAGAAGAUGAAGUCCAAACCCAGGACCACAGCAUAAGCUAGGGCGUGGGUUGAAAGAACGGCAGCAGGUAAAGAGGACCAAGGGACCAUGGUUGGAGUUGGUCUAAUGAAAUAAACUGCCUCAUAAGGUUCUCAUUGAUCAGGGUAUAGCUUGCACCAGUAUCCACAAUAGCCUUACCCGCCCAGGCAUCAAUACGGAUGGGUACAAUUAGUUGUUGAGGCACAAUCACUUUUUCGUUAGACGGUAUAGAGGAGGGGUUUUUCUUGUUGGCUGAUUGGUGAUGUGCUUUCGUUGCAGCAACAGAGCUGUUGGAAGGUUGACCACUUGAUUUAGAGUGAUGAUAAUGCUUUCCACUGUUGGGGUACUGUGAACCAGACGUCUGAGGUGACUGUGGAGAGGUAUAGUGGGGACAUUUACCUGGUGGAUGCUGUCCUCUACAUCUCCAACACUGAACUGGCAUUUUUUCAGUAGGUCGAUUUAAAGGAGGUCUUUGUGAGGGUGAGGACUGUUUAAGGCCCAUACGGUCUUCAUAGCGAAGCUGUUGCUCAAAAUCCUUCUCGAGCUGGUGACCCAGUUUAACCAGUUCUUCCACUGUAGUCACUCGGCUACGUAGUUGGCUGGCGAGGUACGGCUUUAUAUUCUUCAGUAUCAUUUUAACAAUUUCACCUUCAGUUAAAUCUGCCUUCCAUCUUUUGCAGAGAGCUCUGUAGGAAAAUGAAAAAUCUCUAAUUGUUUCUGUGUCUUCUUGAACUCUAGUACGAACACGUUCUGCUAGCUCAUCUUCGUAGUGCUCAGAAAGGAAAGCAGAUAAGAAUUCAGCUUCAAAACCAUUCCAUGUAGUUAUGUUUGUUCGACUUACUUCCCACCAGUCUCGUGCUGUUCCGUAUAAGACAGUACGAAAAGUAGCCAAAAUAUCUGCAUCUGGUAGGGGAUGAAGGGCCAAAAAAUCUUGACAUUUAGUGAGAUAUAAUAGUGGGUCUGCAUCAUCAGAAGGCCUUCCAAAAGUAGGAAAGGUUAAUUUAAUGUGGUCGCUUUUAACCAUGGUGCUGGAAGAGAGGCUGGAGCAGACACCCCAGUUACAGAAGUAGAAUCAGAUGACGGAGAUGCUGAAAUGGUAGAACUAGGCACUGGUGGUACUGAUACACUGGACUUCAGUUGCUCCUCCUUUGUCCUCUUGACACUUUGAAAACCUUUUUCAACUUCACCGGUUAGUUCUUUUACAUCAAUGACCAAUUUGUCAGUUUGAGUAACACAUUGUUGGAGUUCUGAGGUUAAAUGAUCUUGACUGGUUUGAAACGCUUGUAGAACAGCUUUAACCUCUCAACGCGCACUAGCUCGCGGACGGAAGGACGUCAGUUUUUUUUUAUUCUGCUAACAAUAUAUAUAUAGCCUACUGUGUACAAACAACAAUAAUAAUAACACUACUAUACAUCGUUUAAAAGGUCUAAGGGUUUAGCGUCAGUGUAUGGUGUCCGUUUUGAGAUUAAAUUGCUCUAGUAUCAUAAAUAUAGUAUUUUAUUACAGAAGUCCAGAUAACAACAUGCAUAAUAUAAACUGACUCCUUACCUUUGUGCUGGUAUAAGGAACGCGAAUCGAAUCCAGUCUGUUUCAGAUGUGUGAAUAACCCAUAAAAACUCUCCAACAAAGUACAUCCAAUGACCAGUUUUGUCCACAAAUGCGUAUAAUCCGUGAAAUAUGGAUAUAUUUUCCAUUGUUUACAUCAGAUUUCAGAUGCACGUCUUGUAAUAGAUUAUAAUAUACAUUCUGAGGACUAUUUACAUCGUAACACUUGUAUAUGAGAGCACACUCGCGUUCAAAACCAGCGCUCAUACUUGAUUGUACAAGUAGGCGGGAGUAUAAUACAUAAUAUCCAAACAGCGCUGUCUAAUAUCGUGACGUCAUCUGACUCGCGCGUUCCUCCAAUGACUUCAUGGGAAAUAUUGAUAGACAGAACGUGUAGCCAAUUAGAACACGAAUUCAACGAUCUUUGUGUGAAGCUUUAUUUCCUGGUGUGGAUACGGCAUUUUAUACGCUUAUAUAAGGAUAAACAAUAAAAAGAACGAACGUGUAUGCAUGUAAACAAAAGACUUUUAUUUUGUGGCUGACUGGCACUUAGAAAAGGCACUAGUCUUACAAAAACUCUUGCAAGAACCUCAUUUUUGGGUCUAUUGACUUCAAACGUGAAAUAUAACUUCUUUAGACUUGUGGCUUUGGCCUCAUUGCAUUUAUAGGUUUCACACAUAUAUUUAUCAUUAAGAUGUUUAGUGUUAAAAAAGAUGUUAUGCAAAAAAAAAUUUUAUUACAAUGUACUUCAGCCUCUCUAACUUUUUUUUUUAAUCUUAAAAUAAUUUUGAAACAUGGAAAACGAAGCUCAAAGUGUCUUCUAUCUAAUGAUACCACAGUUAUGCUUAUACUAUAAAUGGUUUAGUAAAAACAGCCCUUUUAGUGAAAGUAGGUAUUUUCAUGGUUUCGGGCCAGAAUGGGGGUGCUUUUCAAGAGGUUAAUGUCCUGCUGAACCUCUGACUGUAGCUGAUCAAUCAUGAAGCGUACCUCUAACACUAAUGUAGAUUCCACCUUCUGGAAUUCAUCUGUGAUCAUCUGUUUCAUGGCCUUCGUCAGGUUAUCUAGUUCAGACUCCUCUUGUUGCCUGGCAGUGGAAAACAGAGUGAAGAUUUGUCUUCUAUUGUCCUCCACAUGUGUAGAAAGAUCAACAAUCUGGCUUUUGUGGUGAGAAGCAGCAGCCUUCACUUCCCUGUUGGCAGGGUAUUUGGCAAAGCAUGCUGAGACACUGAAGAAGGGGUUUCAGCUCCUGAUGUGCUACAUAGUUGCAUAUCAUCCACUUGAGAUACCCAUGUGUGCGUUUGCACAGAAGCACCACCAGUUGGAGCAGAAGGAGACAUAUGCAUAUCAUCCAGGUGGAUGCUGCACAUUGGUGGUGGUUGAGGAGAUUCCCCCAUUCAUAUGUAAAGCGCUUUGAGCACUGGAAAAGCGCUAUAUAAAUGUAACUAAUUAUUAUAAUUUUAUUUAUAUGCACGAGUUCUUGGAAAGGCUGAGCCACGUGGUGUUGGAAUAUUAUAAAAUGCAGGUGUAAGAGUAGGAGGUCUUGGGGGAGGUAGCAAUGGUUGCUGGGCAGGUCUCCAUACUGGAGUUGAGAUGUCUGGUAGAGACUCCAUUUCCACGAA